rnacentral:rRNA from 1 species
GGCUCCCUCGACGAGUCGAGUAGUUUGGGAAUGCUGCUCUAAGGGGAGGUAUACUCCUUCCAAGGCUAAAUACCGGCUAGAGACCGAUAGCGCACAAGUAGAGUGAUCGAAAGAUGAAAAGCACUUUGAAAAGAGAGUCAAAUAGCACGUGAAAUUGUUGAAAGGGAAGCGCUUGCUACCAGACUUGGGUUCGGCGGUUCAACCGGCGCCACGCGCCGGGGCACUCCGCCGGCCCAGGCCAGCAUCAGCUCUCCGUCGGGGGCAAAGACGCCGGGAAUGU